UACUCUAGGAUUUUGCCAACUCAGAAACCUCAUCCCCCCAGACACAGAAAAGGAUGGACAGAUUGAUAGCUUUCUCAUCCUGUGGGUAGUGGUGCAUGAUCAUUCUUAGUUGGUGGAAAGAUCUGUCUGGUUAAUUUAGAUAACAAAGGAGAUUCUGGCAUGCUAACUAGUUACCACUCUGCUGAGUAGUCGGUUUCCCAAUGUCCUAGAGGGCAAUAACAGGUCUGUGAUGCCCUUAGAGGUCCCAGGCUGCCCACUACACUAACUGGCUGGCUCUGUGUGUGCCUACUCUGCCCUAGCAGGUGUGGGUAACCUGUUGAACUCCAUUCAUGAUGGGGAUGGGGGGAGAUUGCAAUUACUCCCCAUGAAUGAGGAAUUCCCAGCAAGUACAAUUCAUAACCUUGUAUUGUUUAAGUCUCUG
rnacentral:ncRNA from 1 species